rnacentral:lncRNA from 1 species
AUAACUGAUCAUUUCAUUCUCUAGGAAUCUUUGGUUUAAGUGUACUAUUUUCAAGUACUUGUCCCCCUCAGGACUGCAGCCUAUUGCUGAACUGACAAAGCACCAAGUUUGCACUGGCGAUGUAUUUUCAUUAAAAAAACAAAACAAAACAACACCCAAAAGCAAACAGGAAAAAAAAAAAAAAUAUUAACUCUACAAAGGACAGAAAGAAGUCUUACUGUUCCAGAAAGCAUGCAUGUUAUGCAGGGCUUCUGGUGGAAAGCAUCCUGUCACUGCUUCCAGGCCACUUAAAUCUAACAGGUAUUAAUCACCUGGGUUAUUUGUUUGGUUGUGGCUCAUGGGAAAUCAGUAUGUAGCAUCUUCAAAGAAGCCUGAUUCCAAAUAAUAUAUUAAAAUUAAUGUCUUAUAUUUCAUCUCAAAGAAAUUACAAGUUGAAUCAGAUUUUUGUUGUACAGUAGUAUUAUCCUCCUUAUUCAGAGUCAGUAAUCUAAUGGACAUUUAUAGCAGGUUUUAGUAAUCCAGUCCCUAAAAUGACAAAAGACUCCAACUGUGGUAAUAUCAGUUACUAACCAUCUCUUGGGGACUGCUGCAGGGCAGUGCAGAUGUGUACCCAGUCAUGGGGGCUGCCUGACAAAUAUCCUUGUCCAGGGAUUCCAUAGAAGUCUUUCAGGCAAAGCAAGCAAAAGGAUGUGUAACACUUACCGUCGCCACUUUUUAACAAAUUGGAGUUAAAUUUUAUUUCAGCAAUUAGUCAGCCAUCAGUAAAAUCUCCAUCUCUGCAGAUCUGAGUCUGCUAGAUUAGCAAGCAACACUGGUUGACUGAUGUUUUCAGCUCCUCCUGUGGGUGGUUUUGCUGUCUUUCAACAGGUAAGGGACCCAUUUCGCAACCACACUCCCUUGGGGAAGUCAGUGCUUGUGGACCUUCCCACUGCUUUGGGGUUUGGAGUCAUUUCCAGCCUGUGCCUGGGGCAACAGGAGGGCUGCCUGCUACCUCUGCAAGGCACAUGUCUCCUGGAAACUGCAUGUGGAAAAAAGGAUAUGAUAGUCGUUGGCUUUGCUCAGAUGGAGAGCCUGGACAUUGUCUUGCUGUGUACUAAAGAGGAGAUGACCUAGAACAUGCUCAUCCUGGAGCUGAGCAAUAGGAUGCAGGUGACGCACACAGAAUCAGAAUUGUCUCUUCAAGUAGCUGGAAGAAAACUGUAAUUCCAGUGAACCCCAGGGAGAAGGCAGUGACCAGUAGCAGAAGAUGGGGACGCAGAGCUGAAGUGCCAUUGCAUUCAGUGCCACAACCAUUGCUCUUCCAAUGCUUCUUUAGAGCUAUUGAACCUUUCCAAAUAACAUAAAAUGAACCACUGUUGUCAAAUUAGUAUGUAUGCCAAAAUGAAGAAAAUAAAAGUGUGCUAUUGGUUAAUACUGAGAGUAUU